rnacentral:rRNA from 1 species
UGGGGAAUAUUGCGCAAUGGGGGGAACCCUGACGCAGCCAUGCCGCGUGAAUGAAGAAGGCCUUCGGGUUGUAAAGUUCUUUCGGUAUUGAGGAAGGUUGAUGUGUUAAUAGCACAUCAAAUUGACGUUAAAUACAGAAGAAGCACCGGCUAACUCCGUGCCAGCAGCCGCGGUAAUACGGAGGGUGCGAGCGUUAAUCGGAAUAACUGGGCGUAAAGGGCACGCAGGCGGUUAUUUAAGUGAGGUGUGAAAGCCCUGGGCUUAACCUAGGAAUUGCAUUUCAGACUGGGUAACUAGAAUACUUUAGGGAGGGGUAGAAUUCCACGUGUAGCGGUGAAAUGCGUAGAGAUGUGGAGGAAUACCGAAGGCGAAGGCAGCCCCUUGGGAAUGUACUGACGCUCAUGUGCGAAAGCGUGGGGAGCAAACAGGAUUAGAUACCCUGGUAGUCCACGCUGUAAACGCUGUCGAUUUGGGGGUUGGGGUUUAACUCUGGCGCCCGUAGCUAACGUGAUAAAUCGACCGCCUGGGGAGUACGGCCGCAAGGUUA